rnacentral:rRNA from 1 species
UACGAAGGGGGCUAGCGUUGCUCGGAAUCACUGGGCGUAAAGGGUGCGUAGGCGGGUCUUUAAGUCAGGGGUGAAAUCCUGGAGCUCAACUCCAGAACUGCCUUUGAUACUGAAGAUCUUGAGUUCGGGAGAGGUGAGUGGAACUGCGAGUGUAGAGGUGAAAUUCGUAGAUAUCAGGAGGAACACCCAUGGCGAAGGCAGCAAACUGGGCAUCAACUGACGCUGAGGCGCGAAAGCGUGGGUAGCAAACAGG